AAUCAACGCUGGCGGCGCGCUUAACACAUGCAAGUCGAACGAGAAAGCCGGGGCAACCUGGUGAGUAAAGUGGCGUACGGGUGAGUAACACGUGGGUGAUCUACCCUCUGGUGGGGAAUAACCCUGGGAAACCGGGGCUAAUACCGCAUAAGUCGCUUUCCGUUAAAGGGAGGCGGGAAAGUCGCAAGACGCCGGAGGAGGAGCCCGCGGCCGAUUAGCUAGUUGGUGGGGUAACGGCCCACCAAGGCUUUGAACGGUAGCCGGCCUGAGAGGGCACACGGCCACACUGGCACUGAAACACGGGCCAGACUCCUACGGGAGGCAGCAGUGGGGAAUCUUGCACAAUGGGGGCAACCCUGAUGCAGCGACGCCGCGUGAGCGAUGAAGCCCUUCGGGGUGUAAAGCUCUUUCGGCAGGAACGAUAAUGACGGUACCUGCAGAAGAAGCUGCGGCUAACUACGUGCCAGCAGCCGCGGUAAUACGUAGGCAGCAAGCGUUGUUCGGAGUUACUGGGCGUAAAGAGUGCGUAGGCGGUCCUCUAAGUUCGGUGUGAAAUCUCCCGGCUCAACUGGGAGGGUGCGCCGGAAACUGGAGGGCUCGAGUAUGGGAGAGGAAAGCGGAAUUCCUGGUGUAGCGGUGAAAUGCGUAGAUAUCAGGUGGAACACCUGCGGUGUAGACGGCUUUCUGGACCAUGACUGACGCUGAGGCACGAA
rnacentral:rRNA from 1 species